rnacentral:rRNA from 1 species
UUGCUACUUUGCUGACGAGCGGCGGACGGGUGAGUAAUGCUUGGGAACAUGCCUUGAGGUGGGGGACAACAGUUGGAAACGACUGCUAAUACCGCAUAAUGUCUACGGACCAAAGGGGGCUUCGGCUCUCGCCUUUAGAUUGGCCCAAGUGGGAUUAGCUAGUUGGUGAGGUAAUGGCUCACCAAGGCAACGAUCCCUAGCUGGUUUGAGAGGAUGAUCAGCCACACUGGAACUGAGACACGGUCCAGACUCCUACGGGAGGCAGCAGUGGGGAAUAUUGCACAAUGGGCGAAAGCCUGAUGCAGCCAUGCCGCGUGUGUGAAGAAGGCCUUCGGGUUGUAAAGCACUUUCAGUCAGGAGGAAAGGGUGUGAGUUAAUACCUCAUAUCUGUGACGUUACUGACAGAAGAAGCACCGGCUAACUCCGUGCCAGCAGCCGCGGUAAUACGGAGGGUGCGAGCGUUAAUCGGAAUUACUGGGCGUAAAGCGUACGCAGGCGGUUUGUUAAGCGAGAUGUGAAAGCCCCGGGCUCAACCUGGGAACUGCAUUUCGAACUGGCAAACUAGAGUGUGAUAGAGGGUGGUAGAAUUUCAGGUGUAGCGGUGAAAUGCGUAGAGAUCUGAAGGAAUACCGAUGGCGAAGGCAGCCACCUGGGUCAACACUGACGCUCAUGUACGAAAGCGUGGGGAGCAAACGGGAUUAGAUACCCCGGUAGUCCACGCCGUAAACGAUGUCUACUAGAAGCUCGGAACCUCGGUUCUG